rnacentral:rRNA from 1 species
UACGAAGGGGGCAAGCGUUACUCGGAAUUACUGGGCGUAAAGCGUGCGUAGGUGGUUUGUUAAGUCUGUUGUGAAAGCCCCGGGCUCAACCUGGGAACUGCAGUCGAAACUGCAAAGCUUGAAUGUUGGAGAGGUUGGGGGAAUACCUAGUGGAGAAGUGAAAUUCGUAGAGAUUAGGUGGAACACCAGAGGCGAAGGCGCCUGACUGGCCAAACAUUGACGCUGAGGCGCGAAAGCGUGGGUAGCAAACAGG